AUCACCUGGGGAUCUUGUUACAACGCAGAUUCUGAUCCAUAGGUCUGGAGAGGAGCCUUAGAAUCUGCAUUUCUAACAAGCUAUCAGGUGAUGUUGA
rnacentral:pre_miRNA from 1 species